rnacentral:rRNA from 1 species
UACGUAUGGUGCAAGCGUUAUCCGGAUUUACUGGGUGUAAAGGGAGCGCAGGCGGCACGGCAAGCCUGAUGUGAAAGCCCGCGGCCCAACCGCGGGACUGCAUUGGGAACUACCGGGCUGGAGUGCCGGAGAGGUAGGCGGAAUUCCUAGUGUAGCGGUGAAAUGCGUAGAUAUUAGGAGGAACACCAGUGGCGAAGGCGGCCUACUGGACGGUGACUGACGCUGGGGCUCGAAAGCGUGGGGAGCAAACAGG